rfam:Marinovum algicola DG 898 plasmid pMaD5, complete sequence.
UCGCGUUCUCAGGGCGGGGUGAAAUUCCCCACCGGCGGUCACAGCCCGCGAGCGCCUUUCGGGUCAGUCCCGCAAGGGUCAGCAGAUACCGGUGGAAUUCCGGAGCCGACGGUCAAAGUCCGGAUGGAAGAGAACCAGC